AAUGAACGCUGGCGGCAAGCUUAACACAUGCAAGUCGAACGAGAAAGCACCUUCGGGUGUGAUUAAAGUGGCAAACGGGUGAGUAACAUGUGGGAACGUACCUCAAGGUUCGGGACAACUACUGGAAACGGUAGCUAAUACCGGAUGUGCACUACGGUGAAAAGAUUUAUCGCCUUGAGAUCGGCCCGCACAAGAUUAGCUAGUUGGUAGGGUAAUGGCCUACCAAGGCUACGAUCUUCAGCUGGUUUGAGAGGAUGACCAGCCACACUGGGACUGAGAUACGGCCCAG
rnacentral:rRNA from 1 species